rnacentral:rRNA from 1 species
UACGGAGGGUGCAAGCGUUAUCCGGAUUUACUGGGUUUAAAGGGUGUGUAGGCGGGCCAUUAAGUCGGGGGUGAAAUCCCGAGGCUCAACCUCGGAACUGCCUUCGAUACUGCGGGUCUCGAGUCCGGGAGAGGUGAGUGGAAUUCCUAGUGUAGAGGUGAAAUUCGUAGAUAUUAGGAAGAACACCAGUGGCGAAGGCGGCUCGCUGGCCCGGUACUGACGCUGAGGCGCGAAAGCGUGGGGAGCAAACAGG